rnacentral:rRNA from 1 species
CCUACGGGGGGCAGCAGUGAGGAAUAUUGGUCAAUGGACGAGAGUCUGAACCAGCCAAGUAGCGUGAAGGAUGACUGCCCUAUGGGUUGUAAACUUCUUUUAUAAAGGAAUAAAACGAGGCACGUGUGCCUUUUUGCAUGUACUUUAUGAAUAAGGAUCGGCUAACUCCGUGCCAGCAGCCGCGGUAAGACGGAGGAUCCGAGCGUUAUCCGGAUUUAUUGGGUUUAAAGGGAGCGUAGAGGGGUUGUUAAGUGAGUUGUAAAAGUUUGCGGCUCAACCGUAAAAUUGCAAUUGAUACUGGCAGUCUUGAGUACAGUUGAGGUAAGCGGAAUUCGUGGUGUAGCGGUGAAAUGCUUAGAUAUCACGAAGAACCCCGAUUGCGAAGGCAGCUUACUAAACUGUGACUGACAUUGAUGCUCGAAAGUGUGGGUAUCAAACAGGAUUAGAUACCCGUGUAGUC